CAGUGGUUGACUACAGUCUUCUGACAGGCAACCAAAGCGCUUUUGCCCCCUGGCUGCGUGCGCAUCCAGUAGUGUUUGUAUACAAGAAACCCGUCUAUACAGGGUCUGAAAUUAACUUUUUUCACUGCCUGCCCCUGUAGCAGGCAAGUAGUUUUUUCUGCCACUCAAAUUUUAUCAGCCACUUUUGAAAUGUAUGCCCUAAAUGAAGGAAUAACAUUCAGCUUAUUUAGGCAUCAUUUAAUGUGAAUGUUGUCAUUGAGUGUUCAAUACACAAAUAUGUGUUAGCUCCCGUACGCCGGCUGGUGCACUGCUGGCAGACUGUCACUCAGGAUGGACUGUACCUCUUCCACUGGUGAGCUUGGUUUGAAACGCUGCCAUUGAUAUUCCCUGAGCUGACUGGUGGUUGUGUGUGAGGCAGGCAUGUACGCUGAUUGCCACAAUACACUAACCUACGUGUGUCUACAUUUGUUUCUCUGUCUGCCAAAGUGGUGGAUUGCCUGACGAUUUUACCCACCACUGCCAACAACUCACCCGCAUUUGGCGGGUGCUAAUUUCAGACCCUGGCAGUAUAUAAAGGGGUGGUGAUGGUGCAGUGGAUAAGACACAUGCCUUUGGUGUGAGACACCCGGGUUAAAUUCCCCAUGUGAGACAUCCACCAUUGUGUCCCUGAACAAGACACUUAACCUCUAGUUGACCCAGAGGCAUGCGACGUCUGACGUGCUGAGCAAAUGUAUGUCGCUUUGGAUAAAAGCGUCAGUUAAUGAAAAAAUGUAAAUGUAAAUAAUGGAUGGAUUUAAACACUCAGAAUUCAGACACUCCCCACACAGAGUGCACAGUAAUUGGAGUCCACUAUAUAGUAAAUAGGGAGUGAUUUCAGACACAGACUUGGCAACCAGUUGCCAGGCACAGUGACUUCCUAGAGUCUCGCUGGUUGCCUGGAGAUUCCAGAAACGUUGACAGAGCCAGGGUUGCUGUUUGCCAGAUCCAUCGUUCUUUACAUAAGUCUUGGCAAGAACUUGAAUUUCCCAAAAUGCUUUAUUGGUCAGUAAAAAGAAUUUUGAAUUCCUUUGGCUAAUGUUUAUCGUCCUCUAGCAUGACCUCAGGAAGGUCUCUCUGAGUUCCAGGGCUACUAAAGAAUGUUAUAAGUAAUAUUGUUAAUACUGUGCUAUAUUACAGAGAAAUACAAAACCGUGAUAAUGUUUCUUUAAAAUAUACAUUUUACAAGAGGCACGAAGCGAGCCGCCUGUUAAAUGCUAAUAGCAAAAGCAGUUAUCAUUCUGGUAAAUCACCUGUGUAUUCUCUGUUGUCAAGCUGGCCCCUGUUCACUGGGAGGCUGCUGAUUGAUUACAGGGCUGAAUGUCAUAGUGCAAGAACAGGUGUUCGGGGCAUGGAGUGGGAAUGAAAGAGAUUCUCCCAAUAAGUCAGUGUACCUUCAAACUGAUUAUGAAGCUGAUCGUGGACAUCAGGAGGAGUCCCCCCACUCUGCCUCCAUCACCAUUCUAAACAGCCCUGUAACUGCUUAUGCAACCCUUCAGGUUUCUGGGAUCCACUAAAGUGGGAGCCCAACACGGACACCCAGCAUAGGAGGUACUUCUUGCGCCAGUUCAGGAAGCUCAACCUGCCUAAAGAGCUGCUCAUCCACUUUUACACAGCCAUCAUCCAGUCUGUCCUCUGCACGUCCAUCACUGUCUGGUUUGGAUCUGCUACCAAAAAGGACAGGAGCAGAUUACAACGGACAGUCAGGACUGCAGAAAAGAUCAUUGGUGCCAACCUGCCCCCGUUCAGGACAUACAUCUUGAGAGUCAGGAAACGGGCAGGAAACAUCACUGCAGCUCCAUCUCACCCCGGACACAACCUGUUCCAGCUUCUCCUCUCUGUUCUGCCUCUGAAGUACUUCAGAUGAUUGCUGAACAAGGUCCACCUGGCCUUGGAAGGCGGGCUUUAAAAGCUCCUGUGCAAGCGUCAGAAAGGAGGCUUUUGAUUUGGGACUGCUGGUCUUGCUGCCUCUCAGCUGGGACAUUUUUGUGUUAUGUUGUACUUUUUGGUGGUCUUAAUUUAUCGUCUUGUUAUGUUAAUAAAUUCCCUUGAUUUGGUUGUUUUAAAGGUGUUUGUGUGUUAAGUUUGGGUCAGUGUUGGGGUGUUGUUCGCCCCAUGUUGCCACCAAAGGGUGGGGCGUAACAAUAUACGUGUUCUCUAUACUGUA